AAGUUGGGAAGAACGCAACCAAUAUUCUGAAUACAAUUACCACGUGAAUUGGUAUCUCACGUGAUCGGACUUGCUGCCUCGCUCUAUAUUCUCAUCAUCAAUGUUUGUGAGGGCUGUUUCUCCUUAGACAGACAUCGCUCUCUGUAUAGUUGUUGCAAGGAAAAUCGGGUAAAGUAUCAAACAUAAUUGUUUCUUGGAUGUGAUUUGUCCUUCAGUGUGCGGAUCAGCACCUCUGGCCACUGGACUGUUGAGAGAGUUUCUACAGAUCACAUGGAAACCGGUGCAUUGAAACACACCUCACAUCAAGGAGAGCAAGAAGAGCAUUAUUCCCAAGACA
rnacentral:lncRNA from 1 species